rnacentral:rRNA from 1 species
ACUCAAAGGAAUAGACGGGGACCCGCACAAGCGGUGGAGCAUGUUGUUCAAUUCGAAGCAACGCGAAGAACCUUACCUACCCUUGACAUGUCCAGUAUGGGGCCGAGAGAUCGGCUUCUUCAGUUCGGCUGGCUGGAACACAGGUGCUGCAUGGCUGUCGUCAGCUCGUGUCGUGAGAUGUUGGGUUAAGUCCCGCAACGAGCGCAACCCUCAUCGUCUGUUGCCAUCAGGUUAAGCUGGGCACUCUGACGAGACUGCCGGUGACAAGCCGGAGGAAGGCGGGGAUGACGUCAAGUCAUCAUGGCCCUUACGGGUAGGGCCACAAACGUGCUACAAUGGCGGUGACAGUGGGCCGCGAGGCAGUGAUGCCAAGCCAAUCCCAAAAAGCCGUCUCAGUUCAGAUUGUACUCUGCAACUCGAGUGCAUGAAGCUGGAAUCGCUAGUAAUCGUGGAUCAGCACGCCACGGUGAAUACGUUCCCGGGUCUUGUACACACCGCCCGU